UACUUUUGCACGGUCUUAUAAUAGAUAUGAGGCAUACAUAAAAAUCAUUAAACAAAUAUUGGAAUG
rnacentral:ncRNA from 1 species